rnacentral:rRNA from 1 species
UGUUCGUAGUCGCGAUUCACAGUGUAGCUGGACAGUGGACUUGUUCCGCAUCCGGCCUCGGUGAACCGGAAAGGUCAGGAACGCGUCAGCGAUGAUGUGUUCUUGCUUUUCUUUCAUGAAACUUCGAGGAAAUGGGGGGGCUCAAGCCAGGCGAUACGCUACGGCGCCGCAUGGCCCAUUCAGCGUGGUACUUUCGGAGCAGAGAGCGUGUCCAGAACUUCGUUUUUGGAGGCGUCGACUGCUUACCGCAAAGGAAUGGACGGAGACAUCCGUAUUGAACAGCAAGAGGUGAAAUUCUGGGAUUUGUUCAAGACGAACAAAGGCGAAGGCAUUUGUCCAUGACUUUUCCCUUGAUAAAGAGCGAAGGUUGGGGGAUUCAAGAUGAUCAGAUACCGUCGUAGUCCCAACGGUAAACUAUGCCAGCAAUGUGUCUCGGUAAUCCCAAUUAUUAGGGGCUAUCGGGGCUUGUGGAGAAAUCGUUAGCGAUCGGGUUCUGGGGGAAGUAUGGUCGCAAGAUCGAAACUUAAAGGAAUUGACGGAAGGGCACCACCAGGAGUGGAGCUUGCGGCUUAAUUUGACUCAACGCGGGGAAACUUACCAGCGCCAGACAGCAGUGUGAUUGACAAGCGGGAGGCUUUUCUUGAUUCGUUGGGUGGUGGU